rnacentral:rRNA from 1 species
GUAAAUAAUUAAGGGCGUAUGGUGGAUGCCUAGGCUCUCAGAGGCGAAGAAGGACGUGAUAAGCUGCGAAAAGCUCCGUUUAGGUGCAAAUAACCUUUGAUGCGGAGAUCUCCGAAUGGGAUAACCCAAUAUGUUGAAGACAUAUUAUACCGUAAGGUAGGCAAACGCAGGGAACUGAAACAUCUAAGUACCUGCAGGAGAAGAAAACAAAAGUGAUUCCCCCAGUAGCGGCGAGCGACCGGGGAUAAGCCCAAACCGUUAUUGUUUCGGCAGUAGCGGGGUAGUAGGACUGCGACAUUGAUGAAAUAAAUGAAAUGGAACACCUUGGAAAAUGUGAUCACAGAGGGUGAUAAUCCCGUACAUGCAAGUUUAUGAAUCAUAGCAGACUCCUGAGUAAGUCGGGACACGUGUAAUCCUGACCGAAUCCGCCGGGACCAUCCGGCAAGGCUAAAUACUCCUGAGAGACCGAUAGUGAACCAGUACCGUGAGGGAAAGGUGAAAAGCACUUCGAACAGAAGAGUGAAAUAGUCCCUGAACCCAUACGCCUACAAGCUGUCGGAGCCGCUUCGUGCGGUGACGGCGUGCCUUUUGCAUAAUGAGCCUACGAGUUACUCAUCACCAGCGAGGUUAAGUACUUCAGGUACGUAAGCCGAAGCGAAAGCGAGUCUGAAUAGGGCGUCAAGUUGGUGGUGGUAGACGCGAAACCUUAGUGAUCUACCCAUGGGCAGGGUGAAGGUUUGGUAACACAAACUGGAGGCCCGAACCGGUAAACGUUGAAAAGUUUUCGGAUGACCUGUGGGUAGGGGUGAAAGGCCAAUCAAACUGGGAAAUAGCUCGUACUCUCCGAAAUGCAUUUAGGUGCAGCCUCUGUUGUUUUGUUCUAGAGGUAGAGCUACUGAUUGGAUGCGAGGGCUUCACCGCCUAUCAAAUCCGGCCAAACUCCGAAUGCUAGAACAUGAAGACAGGGAGUGAGCCAGCGGGUGCUAAGGUCCGUUGACGAAAGAGGGAGAACUCAGACCAUCAGCUAAGGUCCCCAAUUAUAUGCUAAGUUGGAAUUAAAACGGGGUGGGACUGCUUAGACAGCUAGGAUGUUGGCUUGGAAGCAGCCAUUCAUUUAAAGAGUGCGUAACAGCUCACUAGUCGAGCGGUCCUGCAUGGAUAAUACGCGGGCAUAAGCAUAUAACCGAAGCUAUGGGAUUGUAGAUGAUACAAUCGGUAGGAGAGCAUUCCAUUCAGCAUAGAAGCAGUACCGUGAGGUAUUGUGGAGCGGAUGGAAAAGCAAAUGUAGGCAUAAGUAACGAUAAUGCGGGUGAGAACCCCGCACGCCGAAAGAUCAAGGAUUCCCCGGCAAUGUCAAUCAUCCGGGGGUAAGUCGGAUCCUAAGGGUAAGCCGAGUGGCGAUCCCGAUGGCAAACAGGUUAAUAUUCCUGUACUGAUCAUAACUGCGAUGCAGCGACGCAGAGGUGACACUGCUGCGUACUGACGGAAUAGUACGUUGAAACCCGUAUUCUUUGAUACCGGUAGUGAAGCACGCCGGUAGAGAUGAAAGGUGAUAGUACCGCAAUGCUUCGGUUGCGCGGAUAAUGCAGGUAAGCUGACUGCCAAGAAAACCUGCUAAGCUUCAGGUAAUGAUCAUCCGUACUGUAAACGGACACACGUGAUCAGGUAGAAAAUACUAAGGCGCUCGAGAGAUUCAUGGUUAAGGAACUAGGCAAAAUGGUCCUGUAACUUCGGGAUAAAGGACGCUCUUGUGAAAGAGCCGCAGAUAAUAGGCCCAGGCGACUGUUUACCAAAAACACAUGGCUAUGCUAAUUCGCAAGAAGAUGUAUAUGGCCUGACACCUGCCCGGUGCCGGAAGGUUAAGAGGAGAGCUCAGAGGCAACUCGAAGGUUUGAAUUGAAGCCCCGGUAAACGGCGGCCGUAACUAUAACGGUCCUAAGGUAGCGAAAUUCCUUGUCGGGUAAGUUC